GUGAAUCAUCGAAUUUUUGAACGCAAAUUGCACUCUCCGGUUUUCCGGGAGAGUAUGCCUGUUUGAGGGUCAGCCUAAAAAAAAUCGACAUUGUUGCUGUUAUUUAAUGGUGACUUUCGUUGGAGAUUGGGUUAUCUUAAACCUUUUUUUUUUUGUUUUAACGGCUUAAAAUUUUUUUUCACGGUUCCAUUGAAGUUUCUAAGAUUUUUUUUUUUUUUUCCG
rnacentral:misc_RNA from 1 species